UGGGGGAUAUUGCACAAUGGGCGAAAGCCUGAUGCAGCGACGCCGCGUGGGGGAUGAAGGCCUUCGGGUUGUAAACUUCUUUUGCUCUGAACAAGGCAUGCCUUUGGGGUGUGUUGAGUGUAGGGGUUGAUUAGCGCCGGCUAACUACGUGCCAGCAGCCGCGGUAAUACGUAGGGCGCGAGCGUUGUCCGGAAUUAUUGGGCGUAAAGGGCUUGUAGGUGGCUGGUUGCGUCUGUCGUGAAAGCUCAUGGCUUAACUGUGGGUUUGCGGUGGGUACGGGCUGGCUUGAGUGCAGUAGGGGAGGCUGGAAUUCCUGGUGUAGCGGUGGAAUGCGAAGAUAUCGGGAGGAAUACCGGUGGCGAAGGGGGGUCUCUGGGCUGUUACUGACGCUGAGGAGCGAAAGCGUGGGGAGCGAACAGG
rnacentral:rRNA from 1 species